GACGAACGCUGGCGGCGUGCUUAACACAUGCAAGUCGAGCGGUAAGGCCCUUUCGGGGGUACACGAGCGGCGAACGGGUGAGUAACACGUGGGUGACCUGCCCUUAGCUCUGGGAUAAGCCUGGGAAACUGGGUCUAAUACCGGAUAUGACUCCAUGACGCAUGUUGUGGGGUGGAAAGCCUUGUGCGGCUAGGGAUGGGCCCGNGGCCUAUCAGCUUGUUGGUGGGGUGAUGGCCUACCAAGGCGACGACGGGUAGCCGGCCUGAGAGGGCGACCGGCCACACUGGGACUGAGACACGGCCCAGACUCCUACGGGAGGCAGCAGUGGGAAUCUUGCGCAAUGGGCGAAAGCCUGACGCAGCGACGCCGCGUGA
rnacentral:rRNA from 1 species